rnacentral:rRNA from 1 species
UGGGGAAUAUUGCACAAUGGGGGAAACCCUGAUGCAGCAACGCCGCGUGCGGGAUGACGGCCUUCGGGUUGUAAACCGCUUUCAGCCAUGACGAAGCUUUUGUGACGGUAGUGGCAGAAGAAGCACCGGCUAACUACGUGCCAGCAGCCGCGGUGAUACGUAGGGUGCGAGCGUUGUCCGGAAUUAUUGGGGGUAAAGAGCUUGUAGGCGGUUUGUCGCGUCGAAAGUGUAAACUCAGUGCUUAACGCUGAGCCUGCUUUCGAUACGGGCUGACUAGAGGAAGGUAGGGGAGAAUGGAAUUCCCGGUGGAGCGGUGGAAUGCGCAGAUAUCGGGAGGAACACCAGUGGCGAAGGCGGUUCUCUGGACCUUUCCUGACGCUGAGAAGCGAAAGAGUGGGUAGCAAACAGG